rnacentral:rRNA from 1 species
ACUCCUACGGGAGGCAGCAGUGGGGAAUAUUGGACAAUGGGGGCAACCCUGAUCCAGCAAUGCCGCGUGUGUGAAGAAGGCCUUCGGGUUGUAAAGCACUUUUAUCGGGAAGGAAACAUUUCGGCCAAUACCCGGCAGGACUGACGUACCGAG